GACGAACGCUGGCGGCGUGCUUAACACAUGCAAGUCGAACGAUGAAGAAAAGAAUUGAAGCUUCGGCAGAAAUUCAUUUCGGAUUAGUGGCAGACGGGUGAGUAACGCGUGAGCAACCUACCUCUUACAAAGGGAUAGCCUCGGGAAACCGGGAUUAAUACCAUAUAACAUUGCGACGAAGCAUUUCGAUGCAAUCAAAGCUACGGCGGUAAGAGAUGGGCUCGCGUCCCAUUAACCAGAUGGUGAGGUAACGGCUCACCAUAGUAACGAUGGGUAACCGACCUGAGAGGGUGAACGGUCACACUGGAACUGAGACACGGUCCAGACUCCUACGGGAGGCAGCAGUGGGGAAUAUUGCACAAUGGAGGGAACUCUGAUGCAGCGACGCCGCGUGAGUGAUGAAGGAAUUCGUUUCGUAAAACUCUGUUCUAUGGGAAGAAAAGGACGGUACCAUAGGAGAAAGCUCCGGCUAAAUACGUG
rnacentral:rRNA from 1 species